rnacentral:rRNA from 1 species
UACGAAGGGGGCUAGCGUUGUUCGGAAUUACUGGGCGUAAAGGGCGCGUAGGCUGUGCUGUAAGUCAGGCGUGAAAGCCCCGGGCUCAACCUGGGAAUUGCGCUUAAUACUGCGGCGCUGGAAGGUGGGAGAGGAUGGCGGAAUUCCCAGUGUAGAGGUGAAAUUCGUAGAUAUUGGGAAGAACACCGGUGGCGAAGGCGGCCAUCUGGCCCAUUUUUGACGCUGAGGCGCGAAAGCGUGGGGAGCAAACAGG